rnacentral:rRNA from 1 species
ACUCAAAUGAAUUGACGGGGGCCCGCACAAGCGGUGGAGCAUGUGGCUUAAUUCGAUGCAACGCGAAGAACCUUACCAGGUCUUGACAUGGAGGUAGUAGAAGCCCGAAAGGGUGACGAGGUAGCAAUACCAGCCUUCACAGGUGCUGCAUGGCUGUCGUCAGCUCGUGUCGUGAGAUGUUGCCUUAAGUGGCGCAACGAGCGCAACCCCUGCCGCCAGUUACCAUCAUUAAGUUGGGAACUCUGGCGGGACAAACCUGUUUACGCAGGUGGGAAGGUGGGGACGACGUCAAGUCAGUAUGGCCCUUACGACCUGGGCUGCACACGUGCUACAAUGCCCAGUACAGUGGGCUGCGAACCCGCGAGGGGGAGCAAAUCCUCAAAACUGGGCCCAGUUCAGAUUGCAGGCUGCAACUCGCCUGCAUGAAGCCGGAAUCGCUAGUAAUGGCGUAUCAGCUACGACGCCGUGAAUACGUUCCCGGGCCUUGUACACACCGCCCGU